GUGAGUGGUUAUUGAGCCUGCUCAGAGACGAAGACGCCGCUCUGCAUCACUCGGCUGUGUCACUGCACAGCUCUCACUGGAACUGCAGGACAGAGUAAAGCUCAAAGCACCAAAAGGCUGGAGCCACAGAGGAUUGUGGGUACUGUAGUCUUGCAGGUCAACGUUUGUGUCGCAAUGAAGAUGCAUACAGGGGAUUCGAGGGCGGUGAAAGGCAGCAGCUGUGUUCUUCAUCCUGGGGGGGCGUUGGAGGGUAUUUCCUGGGGCAGUUUCUGUGUGUGGCUGCAGCUCGAGGCUCUGCAGCUGUUUUCAGUGUGCGCGGCCUGAUUGUUGACUCUCAGUCUGAAGGUCACGGCGUGAUGCCGCCGGUCAGUGCACUGAAACUCAGCUGACUACCUCCAACCGGCCGCUGUGAUUGGCUGAGCCGGCUGUGUUACACAGACAGAGGAAGAGGCUGCAGGUAUUUGGUCUUCGCCACAGACGUAGAAGGAAAGGAGCAGACAGGCUCUUCUUUAACGGGAACGUAAACUUGGAUCCAAACCUCACACACGGUCAGAGCGAGUCCGUGCGCGAUGUUGAGCGACCCAGUCCAGCACUUCCUGCUGAGGCCGCUGGUUUCUCCGAGAGGCCGCUGAGCUCCACCUGACCUCUGACCUCUCCAGGACCAUGCCGUCACCUCUCAGCUCAUCUCAGUCUGACCCAUCGGGACUCAAACGUCUCUGUUUGUGGCUCCAUCGCUGCUCCUCCCCUCCUCCUCCUCCUCUCCCCGUCAGCUGCGGCGACCUCUGCCCUCUGUCAGCAUCAUGCCGUCUCCCCCUGCUGGUGGCCCUGCUGCUCUGCGGCCUGCUGCUGAUGGUGCUGCUGCUGCUGUGGAACUACCACUGUGUGUUCAUCUCACGCCUCUGCUCCCCCCCGGGGGAGGAGGAGGGGGAUGUGGGGGAGAUGGGCUUGUGACCUCUGACUGUGUCAUUAAUGAUGGUGAUGGUGAUGAUGAUGAUGAUGAUGACGACGGCUCGGGAUGCUUUUCAGUUUUGAUAAAAAUGUAACAAUCAAAAUAAAAAAUCUUAAACGUGCCGAACUCAAAGGUUCCUUUUCUGAAUCUCGCAAACCGCCUCUUCUGUUCAUAUGAAGGGGCGUGGCCUUUACACGAUGGAACAUGAUGAAUGGUGUAACAGCCACCGGGGGGCGAUCCAAAUACGUCUCCCAUUAAUGAGUGGUGUUUUUACUGAUGUGCAUCUGAAGCCAGCGCGUACUUCCUGUUUCUGUGGCGGGCGUUCAUGUCAAACGCGUUAGUAAUGAUGAGGUCGUCAGAUCACUGCGCACUGCAUAGAAGGGGGAUUCAAAGUUCCUGUUCAGGAUGAGCAGCCAAUCAGAAUAAAGUUGCUCUGAAUGAGGGAGGAGCUAAAAAGCUUGCUUUAGCAGCUGCUGCAUGAAGAGAAGUAAAAACUCCUCCAUGCUGGUUUUCAGGACUGAUCACGUCCCGCAGGUUAAACACACCUGUGCCCCGUCCUCAGGCUGUAACACGCACACCUCCUCAGGUAAAGACCAGGCUCACAUACACACACAGUGCGAGAGCACGAGAGUGUAAAAAAAGCCUGCAGACACGUCAUUUUAAACCCUCCAUUACGGUUCUAUUCCUGUCUGCCAGCAGGGCGCCACGCCCAAAACCUCCACCACCGCCGCUGAUUUAUUUCCAGAGUCGCUUUGGUGCUGCUGAGGAGCCAAUCCAACACGUUUACUCAGGAACUGCUGCUGAAUGACACCUGAAUCAUAUUCACCCCCACUGCGACCUCUGAUGCCCCAGCAGGUCCCGGGGUUCUCCUGGACCUCCUGGAGGACCCUGGGAGCCUCCACUCUGUAAAGCCCAG
ensembl:lncRNA